AAACGCACAGUAGAAAAAUAAACUCGGUAAUCUCAUGCAGGCACCUAUGACACGUAGCCUACUGAACAUUGACCUAACUUAACAUUGGCACCAGCCGCAACUGCUGUUAAGUGAGCCGAUUUCAUAAUUCUGCGAAAACAGUCAAGAGGAGGCUGGGAAAGUGUUUGUAUUUCAUUUAGAAAAACGCUGUUACCUCAUCCGCUGUUUAUUCAAGUAAUAGCCCUAUCAUGAUGGAUAUCUCCGCAACACUCGUCAUAGAGUUCAGGGGAGAAUCCGUCGUUUGUACAUAAGAAAACUGAAGUGAGCCUCAGUUUUUGGGGUUUCAAAGGGCUCGGAAUCAGAAGCCUCCACUUUCUUUGCCCCCCAGAGGACUGGCACCCUGGGCAACCACCUAUGUCGCCUAUGCCUAUAGAAGCGACACCAGUGAGCUAAUAUGGACAUCAGGAUAUUGGCCUGCACUCUGUAAACAUUUUCCUGAACCUUGACAUAAAUGCAUGUAUUACCGUUUUUUUCUUUCUUUCUUUCCAAAAAUCAGAUUACCAAGUUAAUUUUAUAACCACCAAACUAUCCAACCUGUGCACUGAAUUUAAGUUGAGGACAAAUGUUCACUGGAUCCCAACAUUUACAAGGUUAAGGUGCUUUGGUGAUACAGAGUAAACAUUUGGGUUGCAGUUUAUAAGUAUUAGGACAGCAACAUACGUUUUGCUGUUUUGGCUUUGUACUUCCGCACAUUGGAUUUUAAAUGAAACCAUGAUUAUGAGGUUAGAGUACAGAGCUUUAAUUUGUGGAUAUUUGCAUCCAUAUCAGGUGAACCAUGUAGAAACUGCAGCCCUUUAUAGUCCCCACAUUUUGGUGGACAGAAAGUAAUUGUCCAGUUGUCUGAUUAACUCAGUUUCUUGGCCACCUGUGUGUGGUAGCCUCAAUUGUUUAUGCAAAAGAAAGCAAACAAAAGGUCUAGAGUUGAUUCUAGGUGAGGAAUUUGUAUGUUACUGUCUCUCAACAUGAGGACCAAAGAAGUGUUAAUGCCAGUAAAGCAGGCCAUCAUGGGGUAGAAAAUCAUAAAUCAAUCAGAGACAUAGCCAAAAUAUUAGUUAGGUGUGUCAAAAUCACCCAUUUGGCACAUUUUUAAGAAGCAAGAACACACUGGUGAGCUCAGCAAUAGCAAACAACCUGGUAGACUAUGGAAGACCACUGUAGUGGAUGACCUGAAGAAUACUUUCAGUUAUGAAGUAAAACACCUUUUCAACUCAAACGGAUCAAGAACACUCUCCAGGAUGUAGAUGUGUCAAGACAAAAACUAAAAUAGAGUACUCAAGCAUAACCUGAGGGUUCACUGCUAGAUGCAAAAACUCUGGUAGGCCUCAAGAACAGAGCAGCCAGGUUAUAGCCAGCUAAAAAGUACAUUUUAAAAAAACUAUUAAGUUCUGUAACAAAGUCUUAAGGGCAAAUGAGUAGUGACAUGGACCAAAGUGAUGGAAAGAGAGGAGUGGAGAAAGGAACUGUUCAUAAUCCAAAGGGCCUCCCCCCUCAUCUUGGUGAAGGUAGUAU